rnacentral:rRNA from 1 species
AUACGUAGGUCCCAAGCGUUGCGCGAUCUCACUGGGCGUAAAGCGUCCCCAGCCGGUCCGGUAAGCGGAUUGUCAAAACCCGCGGCUCAACCGCGGUAGGGCAACCCGAACUGCCGGACUUGAGGCAAGCCCAGGCAGGCGGAAUUCCCGGUGUAGCGGUGAAAUGCGUAGAUAUCGUGAGGAACACCAAAGGGGGAGCCAGCCUGCUGGGGCUGCCCUGACGGUCACGGACGAAAGCUGGGGGAGCAAACCGGAUUAGAAACCCUAGUAGUCC